GCUGUCUUUCCUGCGCCAAGAUGCUUCAAAAUUUUAUUAAAAAUAUGUGGCUUCCCUUGAAAUCCUACUAUACCCAAGUUUACCAGGAGAUUUGGGUAGGAAUGGGGCUGAUGGGCUUCAUCGUUUAUAAACUCCAUGCCGCCGAUAAAAGAAAUAAGGCUGCGAAAGCUGCAGCGUCUGCUCGUGAUCAUCAUUAACCAGCUUACUUGGAGUACCUGUGAAAGAAAAC